rnacentral:rRNA from 1 species
CCUUGGCAGUCAGAGGCGAUGAAAGACGUAGUAACUUGCGAUAAGCCCAGAUUAGGUAGUAACAACCAUUUGAGUCUGGGAUUUCUGAAUGGGGAAACCCACGUGCAUAAGCACGUAUCCUUACCUGAAUACAUAGGGUAAGGAGGCGAACCGGGGGAACUGAAACAUCUAAGUACCCCGAGGAAAAGAAAUCAACCGAGAUUCCGAAAGUAGCGGCGAGCGAAAUUGGACUAGCCCUUAAGCUUUACACGCGUUAGACGAACGGUCUGGAAAGUCCGACGAUACAGGGUGAUAGUCCCGUAGUUGACGACGUGUGUUCAGUGAAAUCGAGUAGGGCGGGACACGUGAUAUCCUGUCUGAAUAUGGGGGGACCAUCCUCCAAGGCUAAAUACUACUGACUGACCGAUAGUGAACCAGUACCGUGAGGGAAAGGCGAAAAGAACCCCUGUGAGGGGAGUGAAAUAGAACCUGAAACCGUGUACGUACAAGCAGUAGGAGCAGGCUUUGUCCUGUGACUGCGUACCUUUUGUAUAAUGGGUCAGCGACUUAUAUUCAGUGGCAAGGUUAACCAUCUAGGGGAGCCGUAGGGAAACCGAGUCUUAACUGGGCGUUCAGUCUCUGGAUAUAGACCCGAAACCAGGUGAUCUAGCCAUGGGCAGGUUGAAGGUUGAGUAACAUCAACUGGAGGACCGAACCGACUAAUGUUGAAAAAUUAGCGGAUGACUUGUGGCUAGGGGUGAAAGGCCAAUCAAACCUGGAGAUAGCUGGUUCUCCCCGAAAGCUAUUUAGGUAGCGCCUCGGACGAAUACUACUGGGGGUAGAGCACUGUUAAGGCUAGGGGGUCAUCCCGACUUACCAACCCUUUGCAAACUCCGAAUACCAGUAAGUACUAUCCGGGAGACACACGGCGGGUGCUAACGUCCGUCGUGGAGAGGGAAACAACCCAGACCGCCAGCUAAGGUCCCAAAUUACUACUAAGUGGGAAACGAUGUGGGAAGGCUCAGACAGCCAGGAUGUUGGCUUAGAAGCAGCCAUCAUUUAAAGAAAGCGUAAUAGCUCACUGGUCGAGUCGGCCUGCGCGGAAGAUGUAACGGGGCUAAGUAGUAAACCGAAGCUGCGGCAAUGUGCUUUUGCACAUUGGGUAGGGGAGCGUUCUGUAAGCGGUUGAAGGUGUGUGGUAACGCAUGCUGGACGUAUCAGAAGUGCGAAUGCUGACAUGAGUAACGAUAAAGGGGGUGAAAAACCUCCUCGCCGGAAGACCAAGGGUUCCUGUCCAACGUUAAUCGGGGCAGGGUAAGUCGACCCCUAAGGCGAGGCCGAAAGGCGUAGUCGAUGGGAAACGGGUUAAUAUUCCCGUACUUCUUACAAUUGCGAUGGGGGGACGGAGAAGGCUAGGUGGGCCUGGCGACGGUUGUCCAGGUUCAAGUGCGUAGGCUUAAGAGUUAGGUAAAUCCGGCUCUUUUUAAGGCUGAGACACGACGUCGAGCACCUACGGGUGUGAAGUCAUUGAUGCCAUGCUUCCAGGAAAAGCCUCUAAGCUUCAGAUUGUAAGGAAUCGUACCCCAAACCGACACAGGUGGUCGGGUAGAGAAUACCAAGGCGCUUGAGAGAACUCGGGUGAAGGAACUAGGCAAAAUGGUACCGUAACUUCGGGAGAAGGUACGCUCUCGACGGUGAAGUCCCUCGCGGAUGGAGCUAUUGAGAGUCGCAGAUACCAGGUGGCUGCAACUGUUUAUUAAAAACACAGCACUGUGCAAAAUCGUAAGAUGACGUAUACGGUGUGACGCCUGCCCGGUGCCGGAAGGUUAAUUGAUGGGGUUAGACUUCGGUCGAAGCUCUUGAUCGAAGCCCCGGUAAACGGCGGCCGUAACUAUAACGGUCCUAAGGUAGCGAAAUUCCUUGUCGGGUAAGUUCCGACCUGCACGAAUGGCGUAAUGAUGGCCACGCUGUCUCCACCCGAGACUCAGUGAAAUUGAAAUCGCUGUGAAGAUGCAGUGUACCCGCGGCUAGACGGAAAGACCCCGUGAACCUUUACUACAGCUUGGCACUGAACAUUGACCCUACAUGUGUAGGAUAGGUGGGAGGCUUUGAAGCACGUACGCCAGUAUGUGUGGAGCCGUCCUUGAAAUACCACCCUUGUAGUGUUGAUGUUCUAACGUCGACCCCUUAUCGGGGUUGCGGACAGUGCCUGGUGGGUAGUUUGACUGGGGCGGUCUCCUCCCAAAGAGUAACGGAGGAGCACGAAGGUGGGCUAAUCACGGUUGGACAUCGUGAGGUUAGUGCAAUGGCAUAAGCCCGCUUGACUGCGAGAAUGACAAUUCGAGCAGGUGCGAAAGCAGGUCAUAGUGAUCCGGUGGUUCUGAAUGGAAGGGCCAUCGCUCAACGGAUAAAAGGUACUCCGGGGAUAACAGGCUGAUACCGCCCAAGAGUUCAUAUCGACGGCGGUGUUUGGCACCUCGAUGUCGGCUCAUCACAUCCUGGGGCUGAAGUCGGUCCCAAGGGUAUGGCUGUUCGCCAUUUAAAGUGGUACGCGAGCUGGGUUUAGAACGUCGUGAGACAGUUCGGUCCCUAUCUGCCGUGGGCGUUGGAAGAUUGAAGGGGGCUGCUCCUAGUACGAGAGGACCGGAGUGGACGAACCUCUGGUGUUCGGGUUGUGUCGCCAGACGCAUUGCCCGGUAGCUAAGUUCGGAAUCGAUAACCGCUGAAAGCAUCUAAGCGGGAAGCGAGCCCUGAGAUGAGUCUUCCCUGAUACUUUAAGUAUCCUAAAGGGUUGUCGGAGACUACGACGUUGAUAGGUCAGGUGUGUAAGUGCUGUGAGGCAUUGAGCUAACUGAUACUAAUUGCCCGUGAGGCUUAACCAU